AGAGGGAGAGACAAUGGAGAAUUCAGCUAGAGAGAGGGGUGUAGAAUUUGGAAGAAACAAUAAUACUCCGGUGGCUAUAUCUCUAUAAUCCACCGUUAGAUCAUGUUGAGUUUUUGAUAUAUUGUUCUUCUUACACUCCUCUCCUAACUGACCGGAGGGAUUUGAAGGAACACAAUUCGUUUGACAGAAAUCAUCAUCUGGACUUUUCUGGAAAACAAAAGGAAAUAAUUCUGCAGAGCAGUUUUAGUCGCCGGCCGAUUUCUCUCUCUUCCACCGUUGGAUCAUGCUCAUUCUUGGAUAUGUGGUGAGCCUAGAUGUUACCGUCAUACUGGACGGUGGAGAUCGGAAAAUAUUUCUCCGGCAAGGUUUCAUGCAUGUUGAACAGUAGCUCGCCCAUUUUCAGGGAAAGCUGUGGGGACUGGACAAUUGCAUGAAGUGGCAGCACGUGCACCUAUUCUAGGUCCAUCAGGGUCGUGUCAAUAGUGAUACUAGUUUAGUUUGUCUUUUGCUUUUGACCAUGUAAAUUAUUUGUAAAUUAAAAGACUUAUUUCCUAAAACUUGAGAUGUAAUAUCAAUCCGUAAAACUGAAUGUAUGCCUUUAAUCUAAUGGUUGAAACUCUAAGUACUUAUUUAA